rnacentral:lncRNA from 1 species
GGGUAACUGCAAUACCCUGUCCACAGAUCUAUCUCUGUCUACUAUGAGGAGCCUGGGAGACCCUGAACAUCAUGGCUAUAUAAAGAAGAAUAAAAAUGAAAAUCAUACCAGGCCCCAGAAUGUCGAAGACUAAGGCCAAUGACCAAUGACCAGAGUUUGACACGUGACGGAGUGAGCAGAGGGAGCACUGAGGCAAGCUAAACAGCAUACAGAGGCGACUUUCACAAUAAGAUAACAGAGUAAGAAACGCAAUUGACAAUGGGAACCCAUGGAUCUAACCUCAGCUUCUUACUCCCAGGUAUGUGGUCUAUGUAAGAAUAUGUUUUCGAUAUAGUCGAGAAAAACUGUUCUUUCUUUACAG